GGACACCAAGGAUGACAAUGAAUAAUUGGGAAGACAACAUCAACAUGGCUGCACCAACACCAAACCUUCAUGCACCCAAUAGAGCUCAUUGGUCGACGCAAUUAGGUCAAGCCUCCCAAGGCCCAAACUAUGGCAACAAUAUUAUUCCUAAUGCUCCAGCCUCAAAGCCUAUCAAG